GGUGAGUAACACGUGGGUGAUCUGCCUUGCACUCUGGGAUAAGCUUGGGAAACUGGGUCUAAUACCGGAUAGGAACCGUCUUUAGUGUGGUGGUUGGAAAGUUUUUCGGUGCAAGAUGAGCUCGCGGCCUAUCAGCUUGUUGGUGGGGUAAUGGCCUACCAAGGCGUCGACGGGUAGCCGGCCUGAGAGGGUGUACGGCCACAUUGGGACUGAGAUACGGCCCAG
rnacentral:rRNA from 1 species